rnacentral:rRNA from 1 species
GAUGAACGCUGGCGGCGUGCCUAAUACAUGCAAGUCGAGCGACCACACCAUGAGCUUUCUCUUCUGCCGUUAGCGGCUGACGGGUGAGUAACACGUGCAUCACCUUCCUCUUUUUCUUGGAUUAUUUCGGGAAACCGCAUCUAAUACUCGAUAAUAUAUUCAACCGCUUGGUUCAAUAGUUAUUCACGCUUUUCCUGUCUCUUUUAGCUGUUUCCGCGUCGGAUUAGCUAGUUGGUAAGGUAACGGCUUACCAAGGCAACGAGGCGUAGCUGACCUGAGAGGAUGAUAGGCCACACUGGAACUGAGACACGGUCCAGACUCCUACGGGAGGCAGCAGUAGGGAAUAUUGGGCAAUGGGCGAAAGCCUGACGGAGCAACGCCGCGUGAGUGAAGAAGGUCUUCGGAUCGUAAAACUCUGUUAUUAGGAAAGAAAAAAUGUGUAAGAAAAUAUGCACGUCUUGACGGUACCUAAACAAAAAGCAACGGCUAACUACGUG